GGGCCUGCGAAGACAAAUCAACGUGUUUUGCUCCUAAAGUUUGUUGGGACAUGUCCUGAAACCUCACAUGAAACUAGUGUGUGCAUGUGGACUGCAUGUGGAAUUCAUUAUUAUAAAACCCAGAAUACAACUCCCUUAUUUUUUUAAUGAAACUGUGGCAUAAAGUAAUUAUCUCAAUUAGAAACAAGCCAGCUCUUGAGCUGCCUUUAAAUGUACAAAUAGUCAACCUGCUCUUAUUUUGAAACCACCAGAUAUGCAUACAUGGCUUAUCAGGCCCCAUGUUUGAGUCUUCCAGGCAGUUUCUUCUAUCAAUAUUCAAAUACCUCAACAUCAAGAUGGCAAAUUUGAAUGUGGCCAAUCUGAUAAAGCUGGGCUUAAAGUACUUUAGAGGCUAAAUUCUUUUACCUUUGUACAUCCACGUCCAAGUUAGGAGACAAAAACGAUUAAAAGACAAAAAGGAAGUGUGACGUAGAAGGAGUAAAUAAAACAGCUUUGACAUCUUUUGUUCUUACAGCCCACACCCUGAGACAGGUUUUCCAGAAUGUUCCAACAGCCCAAACAACCUUUAAUUAAGAAUAAAACCUAAAAAACUAGAAUUAUAGUUCUAGUAAGUAGAUCAGCGUUUUUUUUAAGUAUUAAUAAAACAAACACAUUUAAACAGAUUCUUUAGAAAAAAAAACACAAGGAAGUGUGACAGUAAGAAAGUAACUGAGUUUUUUAUAGGGGUGAAAAUUUAUCCAGUUUCCCUCACCUGUUGCAGAGUUGGCUCUCUUCUUUGGGAUGACUUCUGCAGAAACAGAUGAAGAGCAGCUUGUUGUCCUGGUCUUACCUGUUUCUGGGCAUUUGAGCGGGAUCCUGGAUUCGAUGGUUCCAAGACGACUCGGUGACUUGAUGUGCAUCUUGAAGGUUGACACAUAAAGCUUUUGGCCGCCCUCGCCAUUCAUGUUUGUUUGAGUCUAUAACCAGAACAACAAAUAAAUUACAAAGUCAUUUCCUGGCCUGACUAUCGCACUUCCUUUCUUCUGAGUGACUCAGCCUCUCUAAAAAAACCCUUCGUAUGCUUCUCCGUCUGCUGGACUCUGACUUCACUCUUCGCAUGUGCAACCUUUGUUUUUCUCACCCUCCCACUUGACUUUUAUAGCUCCACCUACACAGCAGUUUCUCUUAUCUCAGAAUCAGUAGAAUCCAAAGCCUUGCCUUUAUUGUCAUGGAUAGAGGACGGUCACAAUGCAUGACUGAGGAAAGGCAGAACAGGGAGGUGGAGAUGUGACUUAUCUACCUACCCAGCCAAAGGUCAGACAAUGUGCUGUUUGUUGAAUCCACCACUGCACUGAUCCUCUCCAGAGCUUUUAUGUCUGCAUAAAACAUAUAUAUUUUAAAGCUUGGGUGCUUGCAAUACCUUAUAAAACGCAGGUGGCUAACUGAGGAGCUUCCUUGCAGACUCACUCCUGACUACAGUAACCGGGAGAUGUUCCUCUAGAGGCCCACUGUUGAUAAAACACAUGCAGCAGACGGUCAGCCCAGAGCAGCUCUGAAUCAAAUCAAACAAUGCACUUUAGAGAGAGAACGCAUUUUCAGCUGCUCCAAAUCUAAACAAAGAUGGGAGUUUGUGUGGUUCAAGCGCUGCAUAUUAGAUGUGCACCAGAUCGUUCUAAUGACUCCCACCCCAAAUUCCAAAAUUCCACAUGAGUGAUCACACAAAAUAGCCCAGUGAGGGGAUUGUUUAGUAAUCCUAAUUCAAACAUUUACCGAAGAGUUUCACACACAGAGACAUUCUUGUUGGAGGUUGAUAAAGAUGAGUUGGAGAGCGAAUUUGUCCUUUCUCCAUGACCAUUUAAAAAAAAAAAAACAUUCUGGAGGUCAUCAAUUCACUAAAAUAGUCAAAAACACAUUCAAUUCAAUAGUUUUCUUGAUUCUCUUUUAAUAUUUUAAGUGAAAGCGAGAUACUUUUGGGUAAAAAAAAAAAAAAGUUGCAUGCAUAUACUGACAUGUUUCUAAUGAAAUUUGACACAAAUCUUAAAAUAAGUCCCGACAGCUUCCUGUGUAAAACAGAACACAGCAGGGGAAGUGGGUUAGCCUUCUUGCUGCAGAACUAAUUAUUAGUUCUUGCAAGUGGGGCAGGAUACUUUUAUAUUUCUCACACGGAAGUUCUGCAGCAUAAUGUAAAAAAAA